rnacentral:rRNA from 1 species
GGGCGUCUCUUUCUCAUUGCGAGUGGAGGCGCACCCAGAGCGUACACGCUGAUACCCGAAAGAUGGUGAACUAUGCCUGGCCAGGACGAAGCCAGGGGAAACCCUGGUGGAGGUCCGCAGCGAUUCUGACGUGCAAAUCGAUCGUCGGAGCUGGGUAUAGGGGCGAAAGACCAAUCGAACCAUCUAGUAGCUGGUUCCCUCCGAAGUUUCCCUCAGGAUAGCUUGCGCUCACGUGAACGAGUCUCAUCCGGUAGAGCGAAUGAUUAGAGGCCUUGGGGUCGAAACGACCUCAACCUAUUCUCAAACUCCAAAUAGAUGAGAACUCCGGCUUUCUUGAACUUUGUUUUUGAAGCCGGGGGCUCGGAUCAGAGUGCCAAGUGGGCCAAUUUU